GUGGGUAGAGCUCAGUGGUAGAGCGCAUGCUUAGCAUGCACGAGGUCCUCGGUUCAAUCCCCAGUACCUCCA
rnacentral:tRNA from 1 species